AGUGAACGCUGGCGGUAGGCCUAACACAUGCAAGUCGAACGGCAGCACAGUAAGAGCUUGCUCUUACGGGUGGCGAGUGGCGGACGGGUGAGGAAUACAUCGGAAUCUACUUUUUCGUGGGGGAUAACGUAGGGAAACUUACGCUAAUACCGCAUACGACCUACGGGUGAAAGCAGGGGAUCUUCGGACCUUGCGCGAUUGAAUGAGCCGAUGUCGGAUUAGCUAGUUGGCGGGGUAAAGGCCCACCAAGGCGACGAUCCGUAGCUGGUCUGAGAGGAUGAUCAGCCACACUGGAACUGAGACACGGUCCAGACUCCUACGGGAGGCAGCAGUGGGGAAUAUUGGACAAUGGGCGCAAGCCUGAUCCAGCCAUACCGCGUGGGGGAAGAAGGCCUUCGGGUUGUAAAGCCCUUUUGUUGGGGAAAGAAAAGCAGCAGGUUAAUACCCCGCUGUUCUGACGGUACCCAAAGAAUAAGCACCGGCUAACUUCGUG
rnacentral:rRNA from 1 species